AUGAAGAUCUCUGUGAAGACCCUCACUGGAAAAACAAUUGUCAUCGAGGUGGCGUCCUCUGACACGAGUGACAACAUCAAGGACAAAAUUCAGGAGAAGGAGGGCAUUCCCCCAGACCAGCAACGACUUAUCUUUAAUGGAAGAAACCUUGAUGCUGAGUGGACAGUUUCAGAUUACAAUAUUCAGGAGCAGUCCACCCUGCACCUUGUCCUGCGCCUUGACUUUGGAAUGCAGAUUUUCGUGAAGAGUGCCAUUGGUAAGACCACCACUCUCCUGGUGGAGCCGUCUGACACGAUCGACAACAUUAAGGAGAAGAUUCAGGGCAAGCAAGGGAUCAUCUUCGAUAAGCAAAGGAUCAUGUUUGAGGGCAGGAAGCUAGAUUAUGGGCAGUCUACGCUCGCCGAUUAUGAUAUCCAGGAAGAGUCCACCUUGCACCUUGACUUUGGCAUGGAGAUAUUUGUGAAGACACCCACGGGCAAGACCAUCACUCUUAACGUGGAUCCAUCUGACACAGUUGACAGCGUUAAGGAAAAGAUUCAUGGAAAUCAGAUUCUCCUCUUUGGUGGCAAGGAGCUUGAAAGUGGACAGACACUUGAGGAUUAUGAUAUCCAGGGAGGGUCAACAUUGCAUGUUGAGGAUUGUCUUACUGAAGGAUGA
rnacentral:rRNA from 1 species